GAUGAACGCUGACAGCAUGCUUAACACAUGCAAGUCAAAUUGUGGCGGACGGGUGAGUAACGCGUAAAGAACUUGCCUCACAGCUAGGGACAACAUUUGGAAACGAAUGCUAAUACCUGAUACUGUGAGAGAGCUUUGCGUCCCAUUAGCUAGCUGGAGAGGUAACGGCUCAGCAAGGCGAGGAUGGGUAGCCGGCCUGAGAGGGUGAUCGGCCACAAGGGGACAUAGACCCGGCACUUACUCCUACGGGUGGCAGCAGUUGGGAAUAUGGGACAAUGGACCAAAUUCUGGUGUGGCAAUUCUGGGUGCACGAUGAAUUUUUCGGAAUGUAAAGUGCUUUCAGUUGGGAAGCGGUACCAACAGAAGAAGUGACGGCUAAAUACGUGCCAGCAGCCGCGGUAAUCC
rnacentral:rRNA from 1 species